rnacentral:misc_RNA from 1 species
GAUGAAGAACGUAGCGAAAUGCGAUAAGUAGUGUGAAUUGCAGAAUUCAGUGAAUCAUCGAAUCUUUGAACGCACAUUGCGCCCCUUGGUAUUCCAUGGGGCAUGCUUGUUCGAGCGUCAUUUGUACCUUCAAGCUCUGCUUGGUGUUGGGUGUUUGUCUCGCCUCUGCGCGUAGACUCGCCUCAAAACAAUUGGCAGCCGGCGUAUUGAUUUCGGAGCGCAGUACAUCUCGCGCUUUGCACUCAUAACGACGACGUCCAAAAGUACAUUUUUACACUCUUGACCUCGGAUCAGGUAGGGAUACCCGCUGAACUUAAGCAUAUCAAUAAGCGGAGGA